UACGUAGGGGGCAAGCGUUGUCCGGAAUCACUGGGCGUAAAGAGCGUGUAGGCGGCUCGAUAAGUCUGCUGUGAAAGUCCAGGGCUCAACCCUGGAAGGCCGGUGGAAACUGUCGGGCUAGAGUCCGGAAGAGGCGAGUGGAAUUCCCGGUGUAGCGGUGAAAUGCGCAGAUAUCGGGAGGAACACCAAUGGCGAAGGCAGCUCGCUGGGACGGUACUGACGCUGAGACGCGAAAGCGUGGGGAGCAAACAGG
rnacentral:rRNA from 1 species